rnacentral:rRNA from 1 species
CAAUGGGCGAAAGCCUGACGGAGCAAGACCGCGUGGGGGAUGAAGGUUUGUGGAUUGUAAACCCCUUUUGAUUGGGAAGAAUACUGGCGGUACCAAUCGAAUAAGCCUCGGCUAACUCCGUGCCAGCAGCCGCGGUAAUACGGAGGAGGCAAGCGUUAUCCGGAAUUAUUGGGCGUAAAGCGUCCGUAGGUGGUUUAGUAAGUCUGCUGUUAAAGCGCGGGGCUUAACUCCGUAUCGGCAGUGGAAACUACUAGACUAGAGUGUGGUAGGGGUAGAGGGAAUUCCCAGUGUAGCGGUGAAAUGCGUAGAUAUUGGGAAGAACACCGGUGGCGAAAGCGCUCUACUGGGCCAUAACUGACACUGAUGGACGAAAGCUAGGGGAGCGAAAGGGAUUAGAUACCCCUGUAGUC